GCACUGACUGGCUCAGUCGGAAGAGUGUGUGACUCCUGAUCUCAGGGUCGUGAGUUCGAGGCUCACGUUGGGUG
rnacentral:tRNA from 1 species